UACAGAGGGGGCAAGCGUUAUUCGGAAUUAUUGGGCGUAAAGGGCGCGUAGGCGGCUUUUCAAGUGACGGGUGAAAUCCCUCGGCUCAACUGCGGGCUUGCAGUCGAUACGGGCAGGCUAGAGUUCGGUAGGGGAGACUGGAAUUCCUGGUGUAGCGGUGAAAUGCGCAGAUAUCAGGAGGAACACCGGUGGCGAAGGCGGGUCUCUGGGCCGAUACUGACGCUGAGGAGCGAAAGCGUGGGGAGCGAACAGG
rnacentral:rRNA from 1 species